rnacentral:rRNA from 1 species
GAAAAAAAACACAACCACACACGCACGGGCUCACCUCCUCUCCCUCUCGCCCAUGAAGUCACCGCCGCCCACGCCGGCCGCUUUCGGCGAGCUGCGGCGCCGCACAGCACGCCCCCGAGCUCCCCAAGCUCCGCGCCUCCCUCCCCUCCAACCAGAUUCUCCGCUCCCGGCCUCUACCGCCCGCUCGCAACCACACCCCCGUGGCUAGGGUUUCGGGCAGUGCUUCGCCGGCGCGUCUCCGGCGGCCCCAGAUGCAGAUGGAGCACGCCAUGGGAUUUCCCCAUCCACCACGCUCGCUGCCGUCAAGGGCAGGAAGGAACCCUAGCCAGCAGCACCUCCUCACCUCGGAUGACGCCUCUGCUGCACCAAGAUAGGACAAGCAAUCCCCAUCUGCUCUCUAUCUCUCCCAUUAGCACAAGUCCAUUUUUUAAAACAAAAUUCUGUUAAUGCGCCAAAUAGUCCAUGAACAGAUCUAUUUUUUAUUUGUGAAUUGGUAUCCUUCAAAACAUAAAUAGUGUAUAUAUGUGCUAUUUUCAUUUUUGUUCCCUUCUCAUUUUUGUGCUUUUAUUUGUAAGCUCAUAAAAUAGUUACAGUAAAAAUGCCAGUGUGUGCGAGGUCACUAUUGACAAGUCAUUGUAGUGCUACUACUGCAUUAAUCUUAGCAGUGAAGCUACGGUCUGUUCUUUGGUUCAACAAUGAAAUGUUAAUAUGUUAUUAUCCUUUUAUGCUUUGUGUCAGUGCAAUGUGGUAUGACGCCAACACUUAUUUGGCACCUACAUUGCAUCGACAAUUUUUCAGCUUAUAGUUUGUACCAUCGAGAAUUUUCACGCUUUACACCUGCAGCUAUAUCGCUAUACUAUAAAUAUGUUUUGAUGUCUAAAAUGGUCUUGGUACUGAACCUGACUGAUAAUGUAUUUGGUGUAUCUUUUCUGUAGAAUUAGUAUUAGAGUUCUAUUUGUAUUAUUAAUAGUGUAGAGCUGAUAAUUAGACCAUAGAGUUGCUGUUGAUUUGGUUUAUUCCUUGGCAGAUCAUGCAAUAGCUGUAAGCACACAUUUAAGUACUUUAUCUUAUUACAAAAACUGAACGAAAAUAUAGCAGCAGUACGUUUGAUGACAUAGUGUUAUCUGUGCAAAAAAAUUGCUUGAUUGAUUAUUAAUCAAUGUAAGCAAUCUAUCAUGUAGGUUUUGUUCGAUCCUACACUUAAAGAAAAUCAUACUGAAGAUCUGAGCUUAAGUGUUCCAACAGCUGAAGCAUCAGCUCAAGAUGAAAGGAACCUCUUAAUAUGAUUGUAGAUCCAUUCACGUAAAGUGCAGUUAGAAUAUGGAAUCCACCUCGAACUCGGUUUAAAAAACAGAAAGCAUAUGGGAUUUUGCUCUAUCAGGUAGCAUUUUGGUUGUUCAAUCCAUCCAUAGUUACAUUUUUAAGAUAUAUUGUUGAAUUUCCUUAUUUUUUGAAUACAAGUCUGAACUUUUAGGACAUCCGACACAUGAGUUUGAACCAUCCAAUUAUAGUGCUACUAAUUUUGGGUCACUACAUCAUGCAAUACUACGGAUGCUGUUCAACAUGGCAAAGUUGGAUUUUUUAUUCUUUUUUCACAUUAGAAUCUUUUUUUUUCGCGAAUACGCAAAGCUUGCAUGUCUUUUCAUUGAUAGAAGGAGUAGAAUGAGUAGAAAGGGGGUACAACACAUGACACGGAGGCAGACAGGCGUGAACAUGGUGCCCGGAGCAGAAGGGGAUGCUCGGCCCGAACGAAGGAUACAUCACAACUAGACCUACCAAGCCCGAACCAAGCGGCAAUGCCGAACCUACACAGAAUUCCAACAUCUACCAAGCCAGAAUCGGGGACACCGCGAGCUCGCAAGAUAACGCCUUCAAGAAGGAAGACGACGCCGGGACGCCAUCGCUAUCCGGUCCAGGGGAGUCGGACCUAGGGUUUCCCCUGAGCUCGAAGAGGGGCGCAGCUGAAGUCCUUGACAGCGCCUCCAAGAAGGAAGCGACACCCGUGGGCGCCGCCGCUGCCAGCACCGGCAAGCCGAGCAGGGAUCUCUCCCUGGCCUGAAGCCGAGAAAUCCCAUAGCCGCCUAGUCCGGAAUGGAAGAUGUGGAAGCCAAAGUUGAUCGGAACUACCAUGUCUAGAGGGGGUUGGCAGGGCUGCACUUGCCGUCGGUGGGUGGCAUCGCCCACGAACCCACGAGCACUUGGAUCUAGCAAAAGGUGGAGCCUUGAGGCAUACAAGGUAGGGCUAGAGACGAAGCAAAACCUCGCGAGCAGAUCUGGGGCGGCCGCGUCCAACAGCGCCGACGAGCUAGGACUGGAGGGACGCAGAUCCGAGCUGCCGUGGCCUUAGCCGCCGUGACAUCGACAAGCCGAGUGAGCUGGAGGGAACGCAGCCACACGGUUGCCGACACCGGAGCUGCCCGGCAGAGGACGCCGGCAGCAGGGGACACCGGAGAGACGCGGGCCCCAGACAACCGGGACCGAAGCAGCACCAUCAAUGAUCCGCCGCGAGGAGCCCCAUGCCAGCCACACCACAGAAGCAUCGAUGCCUCCACACGAGAGCUGUCACCGUGACUCGGAGAAAGGGAGGGCCACCGGAGACGAAAGGGGGCACCUGCACGGAAGGCAGGCCGCGAACGCCUCCGCCUCCAGCCGCAGGCCUCACGCCCGGCAACAACACCAGCAGGGCUGGGUCACGCCAUCGUGGAGAGGGAGGCUGCAAAGGGGGGCGCCCAUGGCAAGGCCAGGAGCGCCGGAUCCGCCGCCGGCCGGCAAGUUUAGGCAGCAGUUGGUGGAGG